rnacentral:rRNA from 1 species
GAUGAACGCUGGCGGCGUGCCUAACACAUGCAAGUCGAGCGAAGCGGGGACGGGUGAGUAACACGUGGAUAACCUCAUAUAAGAAUGGGAUAACUUAGGGAAACCGUAGCUAAACCCGACACUUAUAGAUGGAUCCGCGUUGCAUUAGCUAGUUGGUAAGGUAACGGCUUACCAAGGCUACGAUGCAUAGACGACCUGAGAGGAUGAUCGGCCACACUGGGACUGAGACACGGUCCAGACUCCUACGGGAGGCAGCAGUAGGGAAUCUUGCGCAAUGGGCGAAAGCCUGACGGAGCAACGCCGCGUGAGUGAUGAAGGUCUUCGGGUCGUAAAGCUCUGUUAGUAGGGAAGCGGUACCUAAACAGAAAGCACCGGCUAACUACGUGCCAGCAGCCGCGGUAAUAC